rnacentral:rRNA from 1 species
GACAUCAGGAGGUUAGUGCAAUGGCAUAAGCCAGCUUGACUGCGAGCGUGACGGCGCGAGCAGGUGCGAAAGCAGGUCAUAGUGAUCCGGUGGUUCUGAAUGGAAGGGCCAUCGCUCAACGGAUAAAAGGUACUCCGGGGAUAACAGGCUGAUACCGCCCAAGAGUUCAUAUCGACGGCGGUGUUUGGCACCUCGAUGUCGGCUCAUCACAUCCUGGGGCUGAAGUAGGUCCCAAGGGUAUGGCUGUUCGCCAUUUAAAGUGGUACGCGAGCUGGGUUUAGAACGUCGUGAGACAGUUCGGUCCCUAUCUGCCGUGGGCGCUGGAAGAUUGAGGGGGGCUGCUCCUAGUACGAGAGGACCGGAGUGGACGCAUCACUGGUGUUCGGGUUGUCAUGCCAAUGGCACUGCCCGGUAGCUAAAUGCGGAAAAGAUAAGUGCUGAAAGCAUCUAAGCACGAAACUUGCCCCGAGAUGAGUCUUCCCUGAGACUUUGAGUCUCCUGAAGGAACGUUAAAGACGAUGACGUUGAUAGGCCGGGUGUGUAAGCGCAGCGAUGCGUUGAGCUAACCGGUACUAAUGAACCGUGAGG